rnacentral:rRNA from 1 species
UACAGGGGGGGCAAGCGUUGUUCGGAAUUACUGGGCGUAAAGGGCGCGUAGGCGGUGCGGUAAGUCACCUGUGAAACCUCUAGGCUCAACCUAGAGCCUGCAGGCGAAACUGCCGUGCUUGAGGGUGGGAGAGGUGCGUGGAAUUCCCGGUGUAGCGGUGAAAUGCGUAGAUAUCAGGAGGAACACCGGUGGCGAAGGCGGAUCUCUGGGCCUGUCCUGACGCUGAGGCGCGAAAGCUAGGGGAGCGAACAGG